GAUGAAGAACGCAGCGAAAUGCGAUAAGUAAUGUGAGUUGCAGAAUUCAGUGAAUCAUCGAAUCUUUGAACGCACAUUGCGCCCGCCAGUAUUCUGGCGGGCAUGCCUGUUCGAGCGUCAUUACAACCCUCAGGCCCCCGGGCCUGGCGUUGGGGAUCGGCGGAGCCCCCUGUGGGCACACGCCGUCCCCCAAAUGCAGUGGCGGUCCCGCCGCAGCUUCCAUCGCGUAGUAGCUAACACCUCGCGACUGGAGAGCGGCGCGGCCACGCCGUAAAACACCCAACUCUUCUGAAGUUGACCUCGAAUCAGGUAGGAAUACCCGCUGAACUUAAGCAUAUCAAUAAGCGGAGGA
rnacentral:misc_RNA from 1 species